GUAGUCCGACAACGCUGUCGGCAGCCAUCUUAAGAAAACUCCACCCUUUUAGUACACAGGCUCUUAUGGAAGUAUUUUUUCAAAGUGAUUUUUGUCUUAACUGGAUUACAAUUUCGACCAAAGAAAAAUAGUGAAAAAUACUACAUAAUUCAGGGCAUCCCCUAACAUGUCAAAGUUCUAUAAGAAGUGUGUUGUCAAAGGGUGUCCUAACAAUGGAAUAGGAGAUAAGUCAGUUGGCGUACGGUUCUUUGGUAUUCCUGUCUCUCCAGACAACAGAUACCCAUCGGACUCAAUAAUUAUUCAGCAAUAAGAAGAGAACUCUGGUUAGCUAGGUUAAACAUCAAUGAUGCUAACAUCAAAACAAAACACUUGGUGUGUAAUCUUCAUUUUGCAUCUGGAAAACCAAGCUACUAUUUACAGAAAAAUCACCCAGAUUGGGCUCCUUCAUUAUCAUUAAACAAAGCUAUCACAGAUAGCACUCGUUUACAAAGAAGAGUGUUGUAUACCUACAACAGAGAGGCUAUGUUUAUGAACACUUUAGCAAACUAUACCCAACGCAAGAAGGAAGAUAAUAGCAACAUUACGAAAGAUAGCGUUCUUUUGCCUCGGUUGGCAAACUAUCAGAAUAGUUGGAAAGGUCGAAUAAUUGGAUUACAG